rnacentral:lncRNA from 1 species
AUGCUGUUUAUCUACAGGCCUCACUUUGAGCACCAAGACGUUAGACACGAUGACACUGUGGAUUUUAAUAAGUCAGCUUGGAUUCUCAGUGGAAUAGCGGGACCUGAUGGUGCCUUUGGAAAGCAGUUUCAGAGGGACGCGGGUAAAGAAGACACCAGCCAAGGAAUGGCCCCUUGGGGGGCCAGCAAAUGCUUCAAAAAGACAGACUGGCCUCCUGAGUCCAGAGCUGAUGCACGUCGAGGCCGUCAAGGAAGGUGUCCAGAGUCUCGAAAAGGCUGCUGUGAGAAGCAGGCAAGGGUCCCGCUCUCGGAGUUCGUUCUGUGCAACUCUGCUUUCAGCGGCUUUCGGCAUUGGGCAUCUGCUCCUGUUUUGCUGAAAGUCAAGAAGAGUCCAAAGCUUAAAAAAAGGCCAGAUUUCUUUCAGGAUCUUUUCCCCAGAUGUUCCAAGAGAGGCCUGUGCAUUGCUCCAGCAUGCUGCCCUCGGCUGCCCUCUUAUCGUCUCCAAAUAAGACUGAGUGCUUUUAGGAAGAGGGUUUCUUUCUUUCUUUUUUGUUUUCAUGCGCAGCUCAUGAACGUUCCCAGGUCGAAUCAGAGCUGCAACCGCCAGCCUGCACCACAGCCUCGGCAACACCAGAUCUGA